AUUGAACGCUGGCGGCAGGCCUAACCCAUGCAAGUCGCGCGGGUGUAGUGAGCUUGCUCUUCGUUUCAGCGGCUGACGGGCGCGUAAUGCCUCGGACUCUGCCCGGCAGUAGUUGAUACCGUCCGGAAACGGGCGCUAAUCCCGCACACGUCCUGAGGGUGACACUGGGGGAUUUUCGAUCCUCACGCUAUCAGAUGAGCCUGUGUCGGAUUAGCUAAUUAGUGUGGUAAAGGCCUACUACAGCGACGAUCCGUACCUCGUCUGAUAAGAUGACCAGUCACACUGUAACGUAGACACGGUCCAGACUCCUACGGGAGGCAGCAGUGGGGAAUAUUGGACAAUGGGCGGAAGCCUGAUCCAGCCAUGCCGCGUGUGUGAAGAAGGUCCUCGGAUUGUAAAGCACUUUAAGUUGGGAGGAAGGGCAGUAAGUGAAUACCUUGCUGUUUUGACGUUACCAACAGAAUAAGCACCGGCUAACUUCGUG
rnacentral:rRNA from 1 species